rnacentral:rRNA from 1 species
UACGUAGGGUGCAAGCGUUGUCCGGAAUUAUUGGGCGUAAAGAGCUCGUAGGCGGUUUGUCGCGUUUGCUGUGAAAACUCGGGGCUUAACUCCGGGCCUGCAGUGGGUACGGGCAGACUAGAGUGCGGUAGGGGAGACUGGAAUUCCUGGUGUAGCGGUGAAAUGCGCAGAUAUCAGGAGGAACACCGGUGGCGAAGGCGGGUCUCUGGGCCGUAACUGACGCUGAGGAGCGAAAGCGUGGGGAGCGAACAGG